GAUUUCUGGUUUGGUGCGCCUGGUCCGCCCCGUUUUAGGUGUGUGAGUACUGGUGCGCGCCUACCAUCCUUCUGGGGAGCCCAUCUACCCUUCACUGGGCCGGGUGGUUUGCGACCUAGAUCGUUUACUUUGAAAAAAUUAGAGUGUUUAAAGCAGGCAUAUUGCUCUGAAUACAUUAGCAUGGAAUAAUAAGAUAGGACUUUGGUUCUAUUUUGUUGGUUUCUAGGACUGAAGUAAUGAUUGAUAGGGACAGUUGGGGGUGCUAGUAUUCAACGGCCAGAGGUGAAAUUCUUGGAUUCGUUGAAGACUAACUUAUGCGAAAGCAUU
rnacentral:rRNA from 1 species